UAUGGUCAAAUCACGAUGAGAACACCAGUUCUUGUUCGAUCACUGGCGUUAAGCAUCAUAGAGCCAGGUCAGUACUUAGAUGGGGGACUGCUUGGAAACACCUGGUACUGUAAG